AAACUGAAAUACACCAGCACUAUAAAUGCUCAAGAAAUCGAAAUAAUCUGAACCAUCCUACCCGCGAUCAUUCUUAUUAUAAUUGCUCUUCCAUCCCUACGUAUUUUAUAUAUAACAGACAAAUUUAAUAAACCCUACUUAACCCUUAAAGCAACUGGACACCAAUGAUGCUGAAGCUAUGAAUAUUCAGACUACGAAGACCUAGCCUUUGACUCUUAUAUUAUACCAACCUACUUCCUUGAACCCGGCGAAUUCCGACUUCUUGAAGUAGAUAAUCGAACAACUCUACCGAUAGAAGCAGAUAUUCAUAUGCUAAUUUCAU